rnacentral:lncRNA from 1 species
CAGGGUCCUUCAAAUAGUGUCAAAAGUGCUCUAGAAUGAGGCUCGGUCCAAAAGAAUCAAAUCACAGCAUAAAGAGGGCUCGAUCCACGUGAAUUCACGCUUAAGCAUCGUAAGGAGCUCGCCCAAGCGUGAAUUGAGAGUCAUGUUGGGUUCGGGCGUCAAAUUUGGACGCCUAGGCUUCGAGGCAGUGUCGCCCGGGCGUCGAGGUCCACCGCCCGAGUGGUGGAUGUCAAUUUUUUGCGCCUCUGCUGCACUCCUGGUCGCCUAGUGAUGGGUGUCGCGGCCCAUACAAAUUUGAUUGCAUAUGAGAAACGCAGUAUAGUACUAGGAAGUGACUCCUAGGUCGUCUCUCAAGGACCAAACUGUGUUUCGAGAAUCAGG